rnacentral:rRNA from 1 species
UACGUAGGUGGCAAGCGUUGUUCGGAAUUAUUGGGCGUAAAGGGCGCGUAGGCGGUUGGUUAAGUCAGCUGUGAAAGCCCGGGGCUCAACCCCGGAGGGUCGGCUGAUACUGAUUGACUAGAGUACGGAAGAGGUAGCUGGAAUUCCCGGUGUAGCGGUGAAAUGCGCAGAUAUCAGGAGGAACACCGGUGGCGAAGGCGGGUCUCUGGGCAAUAACUGACGCUGAGGAGCGAAAGCGUGGGGAGCGAACAGG